rnacentral:lncRNA from 1 species
UGCAAAAGAAAUUACAUUCAGCAUUUGAUCUUGUCUUGUUUGUGAUCGAAAUAGGAAUUCUAUCCAAGCCACUGGAAGCAUUUAAGUCGUUUGAGGUUCGUUUGAUCAUUUAGUGAUCAGUGUCAUUUAUGUUUGUGGGUUGAAAUAAGGGUUUGACGUCGCAUGUUGUAAAUGUCGCGCCGAAGAUGAGGGUUGGAUCGAGCUCGGGGUUUCAUAAAUAUGGGUUGAUCUUAUCAACAGAGUCACUGAUUUGAGCAGUAGGGAGAGUUACUUUGGUGUCUUGUAGUAGAUUGAUGAAUUUAUUUUUCUUAUGAGAUUUAGAAUGAAUCUGGUCGUUUAUUUCGCGUCGCUCCAGGUUUAUGUCAAUAUUUUGUGUUGUGGAAAGUUGUUUGAGAUAUAUGUAUAUUCCCAACGAAUCAUUAAGUCAAUGCAAAAUUAUUGGCUACACGUAGAGAGUCGAACUUU